AGGUGCGCAGCUAUGGGGCCUUAGUUUUGCAAAAACUAGUGAGAAUGUUUAACGUUCCGCACCUU
rnacentral:tRNA from 1 species